rnacentral:rRNA from 1 species
UCUAGUGAUGAUGGCAAAGAGGUCACACCCGUUCCCAUACCGAACACGGAAGUUAAGUUCUUUAGCGCCGAUGGUAGUUGGGGGCUUCCCCCUGUGAGAGUAGGACAUUGCUAGGC